rnacentral:misc_RNA from 1 species
AACUUUUGACAAUGGAUCACUUGGCUCUCGCAUCGAAGAAGAACGCAGCGAAAUGCGAUAAGUAAUGUGAAUUGCAGAAUUCAGUGAAUCAUCGAAUCUUUGAACGCACCUUGCACCCUUUGGCAUUCCGAAGGGUAUGCUCGUUUGAGUGUCAUUGUACUCUCACACUCCCGAUGCUUUUGGAUUGGGAGUGGUGGACUUGGGUGUUGCUGCUUUACUGUGGCUCACCUCAAAUGGAGUAGUGCAACUCUUGGUUGGACAUAGUACGGCGUGAUAAGUGUCUUCGCCGGCGCCUCAUUAGAGGGUGGCCGAUCGGGAGCUCUGUGCUUCAAACCGUCUUCGGACAACAUCUGACAACUUGACCUCAAAUCGAGUAGGACUACCCGCUGAACUUAAGCAUAUCAAUAAGCGGAGGCU